UCUUUUUGUUUAAAAUUUAAAGUCUAGUCUGCCCUCUGAUAAAUUGAAUGGCCGCGGUAUUUUGACCGUGCUAAGGUAGCAUAAUCAUUAGUUUUUUAAUUGAAAGCUGGAAUGAAGGGCUGAAUGAAAAAAAAACUGUCUCUAAUUAAUUAUUUUAGAAUUUUAUUUUUAAGUUAAAAAGCUUAAAUUUUAUUAAAAGACGAGAAGACCCUAUAGAGUUUAAUAAUUAUAUAUUAUAAAAAAUUUGGAAUUUAUUUUUUUAUUUUUAUAUAAGAAUUUGAUUGGGGUGAUUAAAAAAUUUAAUAAACUUUUUUAUUUAAUUAUAUUAAUGAAUAAUUAGUUGAUCCAGAAAUUUUGAUUAUAAGAUAAAAUUACCUUAGGGAUAACAGCGUAAUUUUGUUAGAGAGUUCUAAUCGAUAAUAAAGUUUGCGACCUCGAUGUUGGAUUAAAG
rnacentral:rRNA from 1 species